ACAGACCACAGAGACAGAGCCGGUAAUUAAUCUUCGCUGAGCUUCGGAUUUCUUGGCAAGCUUUGUGAGCUGGCAUUCGACGCGCAUGCUGACAUGACUCUCUGAUCCCUCCACACACGUUGGAUAAAAGGAAAGAGCUGUCAGGGAAAAUGGUCUGUGUUCUGACCACUAGAGGACACCUGAGAGCAAGAUACAGCGCUGAGAUGCGGAGGUUAGGCCUGGUCAUCUUGGGCCUGGCCACAGGGGAAACAGCCCAGCCACCACCGGGAAGGAGACCUGCCUAUUAUAAGGGCUGACACCAGUGAGGUCUACCACAGCCACUUUGACUUCUGAAAUAGAAUUCUCAGUCACUCCUGGAAGCUGGCCUCAGGUCUCCGGCUCCUUAUCUUUGUACUUCAGGAGGCAGCUCAACUCACUCACAGGCCCCGGAGAAGAACUGUUAAUCAGAAAAGUCCCCAUGCAUCUCUUCAGAGGCAGAAUCCUAACCACUUCUGUUGGCAGAGACCUCGCUGGGGAAGAUGACAGAAGCAAGGCGCCCACCUUGACCGCUCGUGUCUGUGAGCUUGGACAAGCUCCGGUAAUUGGUUUCCACACGACCCGCUUAUAGGGAACACACGGCAAACCUCUCAAAGGUCAGUGGGAACAGAUACAGUCUGCCUUCAACUCUCAGCAAACAGAACAACCCUCAGACUGAGAGGACAUCCGAGAUUAACGGUCUCCAUGCCCCGCAGGAGAAGUCAACAGGUUCAGAGCUGCCGGAGAUGAUCGGUGCGGUGGAAUUUAUGAGCAUGGCUUCACACACCAAGCACCGGAGGGACCGUCUUUGAAGAGAACGAGUCCCCCGGAAGAUGCGCAGUCCAGCUGUGGAGUGAACUCUUUUUACCUUUUGCCUUCCUGUUUCAUCCCGACUCUGCACCGUAAUGCAGGCCACAGGAAUUG